UCCUACGGGAGGCAGCAGUGGGGAAUAUUGGACAAUGGGCGAAAGCCUGAUCCAGCCAUGCCGCGUGUGUGAAGAAGGUCUUCGGAUUGUAAAGCACUUUAAGUUGGGAGGAAGGGUAGUAACUUAAUACGUUGCUACUUUGACGUUACCGACAGAAUAAGCACCGGCUAACUUCGUGCCAGCAGCCGCGGUAAUA
rnacentral:rRNA from 1 species